rnacentral:rRNA from 1 species
UGCAGGGUAUAGACCCGAAACCCGGUGAUCUAGCCAUGGGCAGGUUGAAGGUUGGGUAACACUAACUGGAGGACCGAACCGACUAAUGUUGAAAAAUUAGCGGAUGACCUGUGGCUGGGGGUGAAAGGCCAAUCAAACCGGGAGAUAGCUGGUUCUCCCCGAAAGCUAUUUAGGUAGCGCCUCGUGAAUUCAUCUCCGGGGGUAGAGCACUGUUUCGGCUAGGGGGCCAUCCCGGCUUACCAACCCGAUGCAAACUGCGAAUACCGGAGAAUGUUAUCACGGGAGACACACGGCGGGUGCUAACGUCCGUCGUGAAGAGGGAAACAACCCAGACCGCCAGCUAAGGUCCCAAAGUCAUGGUUAAGUGGGAAACGAUGUGGGAAGGCCCAGACAGCCAGGAUGUUGGCUUAGAAGCAGCCAUCAUUUAAAGAAAGCGUAAUAGCUCACUGGUCGAGUCGGCCUGCGCGGAAGAUGUAACGGGGCUAAACCAUG